AGCAGCCGCGGUAAUUCCAGCUCCAAUAGCGUAUAUUAAAGUUGUUGCAGUUAAAAGCUCGUAGUUGAAUUUCGGGGUUAGCAGGUCGGUCGUGCCAUCGGUAUGAACUGGUCUCGCUGGUCCCUUCCUCUUGACGAACUGUGAUGCCAUUAAUUUGGUGUCGCAGGGAAUCAGGACUGUUACUUUGAAAAAAUUAGAGUGUUUAAAGCAGGCUCACGCUUGAAUACAUUAGCAUGGAAUAAUGAAAUAGGACGUUUGAUCCUAUUUUGUUGGCUUCUAGGAUUGACGUAAUGAUUAAUAGGGAUAGUUGGGGGCAUUAGUAUUCAAUUGUCAGAGGUGAAAUUCUUGGAUUUAUUGAAGACUAACUACUGCGAAAGCAUUUUGCCAAGGAUGUUUUCAUUAAUCAAGAACGAAAGUUAGGGGAUCGAAGACGAUCAGAUACCGUCGUAGUCUUAACCAUAAACUAUGCCGACUAGGGAUCGGAUGAUGUUAAUUUUUUAAUGACUCAUUCGGUGCCUUA
rnacentral:rRNA from 1 species